rnacentral:rRNA from 1 species
AUUCUUUUUGCCAGCGCUUAAUUGCGCGGCGAAAAAACCUUACACACAGUGUUUUUUGUUAUUACAAGAACUUUUGCUUUGGUCUGGACUAGAAAUAGUUUGGGCCAGAGGUUUACUGAACUAAACUUCAAUAUUUAUAUUGAAUUGUUAUUUAUUUUAAUUGUCAAUUUGUUGAUUAAAUUCAAAAAAUCUUCAAAACUUUCAACAACGGAUCUCUUGGUUCUCGCAUCGAUGAAGAACGCAGCGAAAUGCGAUAAGUAAUAUGAAUUGCAGAUUUUCGUGAAUCAUCGAAUCUUUGAACGCACAUUGCGCCCUCUGGUAUUCCAGAGGGCAUGCCUGUUUGAGCGUCAUUUCUCUCUCAAACCUUCGGGUUUGGUAUUGAGUGAUACUCUUAGUCGAACUAGGCGUUUGCUUGAAAUGUAUUGGCAUGAGUGGUACUGGAUAGUGCUAUAUGACUUUCAAUGUAUUAGGUUUAUCCAACUCGUUGAAUAGUUUAAUGGUAUAUUUCUCGGUAAUUCUAGGCUCGGCCUUACAAUAUAACAAACAAGU